rnacentral:rRNA from 1 species
GUUCCUGGCUCAGGAUGAACGCUAGCUACAGGCUUAACACAUGCAAGUCGAGGGGCAGCAUGGUUUCAGCUUGCUGAGACUGAUGGCGACCGGCGCACGGGUGAGUAACGCGUAUCCAACCUGCCCUUUACUCCGGGAUAGUCUCCUGAAAGGGAGUUUAAUACCGGAUGUGUUUGUCUUUCCGCAUGGGAGCGACAAAUAAAGAUUAAUUGGUAAAGGAUGGGGAUGCGUCCCAUUAGCUAGUUGGG